rnacentral:rRNA from 1 species
GGCGGACGGGUGAGUAAUGCCUAGGAAAUUGCCUUGAUGUGGGGGAUAACCAUUGGAAACGAUGGCUAAUACCGCAUAAUGCCUACGGGCCAAAGAGGGGGACCUUCGGGCCUCUCGCGUCAAGAUAUGCCUAGGUGGGAUUAGCUAGUUGGUGAGGUAAUGGCUCACCAAGGCGACGAUCCCUAGCUGGUCUGAGAGGAUGAUCAGCCACACUGGAACUGAGACACGGUCCAGACUCCUACGGGAGGCAGCAGUGGGGAAUAUUGCACAAUGGGCGAAAGCCUGAUGCAGCCAUGCCGCGUGUAUGAAGAAGGCCUUCGGGUUGUAAAGUACUUUCAGUUGUGAGGAAGGGGGUGUCGUUAAUAGCGGCAUCUCUUGACGUUAGCAACAGAAGAAGCACCGGCUAACUCCGUGCCAGCAGCCGCGGUAAUACGGAGGGUGCGAGCGUUAAUCGGAAUUACUGGGCGUAAAGCGCAUGCAGGUGGUUCAUUAAGUCAGAUGUGAAAGCCCGGGGCUCAACCUCGGAACUGCAUUUGAAACUGGUGAACUAGAGUACUGUAGAGGGGGGUAGAAUUUCAGGUGUAGCGGUGAAAUGCGUAGAGAUCUGAAGGAAUACCAGUGGCGAAGGCGGNCCCCUGNNCAGAUACUGACACUCANAUGCGAAAGCGUGGGGAGCAAACAGGA